UACAGAGGAGCCAAGCGUUGUCCGGAUUUAUUGGGCGUAAAGAGCGUGUAGGCGGCCAGGUAGGUCCGGUGUGAAAACUCGAGGCUUAACCUCGAGAUGUCAUCGGAAACCAUCUGGCUAGAGUCCGGAAGAGGAGAGUGGAAUUCCUGGUGUAGCGGUGAAAUGCGCAGAUAUCGGGAGGAACACCAAUGGCGAAGGCAGCUCGCUGGGACGGUACUGACGCUGAGACGCGAAAGCGUGGGAGCAAACAGGG
rnacentral:rRNA from 1 species